AGGAGGAGCAGCACAUGAGUCGUCUGACAGGUUUGGCUGGUCUGUUGCUCCCUUCCAUUCUGGAACACAUUCAUACGCUACAGUAGAAUUCUACAGUUGUUAUCCUUUGUGGCGUGAUGAGCUGUAGAGAGGCCUAGAGUUCCGUUGGGGACCUGUAAGAUUCUACUUCCACUCUAAAGAACAUCCAGACUUUAAGGCACCAGGGAUCAAGUGAGAUCUCGUGGGAACUGGACUAAGAAGGAAUCAUUUCGCCAAGAGCAAAAUCCUGUCAACUUUCAGGGGACAGUAGGAUUCUGGACUGAUGGCAUCCAAAGAAGUUUGACUUUAGGUGGCCAAAAACUGCAGGAGAAAGACGGGAGUCAAGGACAACCCAACCCAUGUUACCUCCCACUCCCAUCUCCAGCAUGCCUGUGGAGACCCCCCAGCCUGUCCUGACACAGCCGGUGAGGGCUGCUGGGACGCCCAACCCCAACCUCAUGCCAAACCGCCUCCUCCUCCAACCAAGAACAGCGGCAGCAGCUGAGCCCAGGCAGAGCGCAGUGGAGAGGCUGGCAGCAGACAAGGCUAAAUACGUCAAGAGUCAGGUGGCCCCCUCCAAGCAGCAGCCAAUAAAAGUGCCUCCGCCUGUCAUGCGCAAACCUCUGAUGUCCCCUGCUACCGGACUACGGCCAACCCGUAAGACCCAACCUUCUCGCUCUAACUACACCCAGCAAGGGAGUGCCCCAUUGGACCUGGAACACCUGAGUAACCUGAUCAACGGGAUGGGUGAGGCUGAAACUCCCCCUACCUCCCCCACCAUGGACCCAGUGGAGAGUAGUCAGGCCCCUGACUGCCCCACCACCACUACCAUCUCUCCCUGUCCCUCUCCGUUCUCUGCUGGGGCUGCUGAGGGGAUCCCGACCCCCUGCCCUGAAUGGUCCACCCCAGUCAAAUUAAGGAUAAAUGCCUCUGGCCCACUAAGUCCUUCUGGAUGUUCUGCUGCAGUGACCAUACGUAGAGUGGACGUAAUACCCCAACACCACCAUACCAUGCCAGUGAGGAAGCCCUUCAGAGCACGGCAGCAGAUGCAUCUCCCAUUGCAGCCCAUGGCUCUGCAUCCACACACCCAGAUCCAUAACGCUAUGUCACCUCUUCGUCUCUUCCACCCCCGAACCACCUAUGCACCAGGCCCUGCAUCUCCUAAACCAGUCCCAGCCCCUCCACCACAAGACCACACCCCAACCCCCAACUCCCCGUCUACCCCCGUUCAGUUCCCAGCCAAUUACCCUGUACUUCCGCCCUCCCCGUCGGUCACUCGCCUGUCCUCCGGUAGCUCCAGGAAACGGCCCUCGCUGACCCGCUCCAAAUCAGACAUGAGUGACCGUUACUCCCGGGCCAGUACUGACCUGGAGCGCUUCUUCAACCUGUGUGGUUUGGACCCUUCGGAGAUGCAGGUGCUGAAGGGGCCGGGCUCGGACAUUGUGUCCCUUGCACAGUUCCGCAGUGCCAGUGCUCCAGGGUCAGAGUGUGCAGGGCAUGAGGGUGAAGAGGAAGAAGAGAACGGUGGGCCUGCAGAGCCGGCUCCCUAUGGUGUCUCGGUCAUUGAGAGGAACGCCAGAGUGAUCAAGUGGCUUUAUGGUAUCCGCCAAUCCAAGGAUACUGCCAGGAGCACCAACAUGUAGGGCCAUGAGACUGAUGUAAAUAGAGGCAGGGGAGAAAAAUAUGGAGGUACACUUUAAACAUAAUUCCUGUACAGAGAAAAAAAACUGGAGAAGUGUGACUGGUGUAUGAACCAACCAAUGACAAUGAAAGGAAGGGACUGAUGUGUACUAAUAGUGAAAGAAAAUGUCUGUUAAAGCAGUGUGGUAGUGUUGGACAUCAUUUGUGCAAGAUAUUUGGUACUUUGUACUACCACCUGUUUCACCUUUUAUUGACAAAAAAAAGAAAAAAAGCCAGUCAGAAUACAACUGGAGCGGGAAAAGGUAUGUGGGACUGACUGGGUGAAAUUACAGGAGAGUUGGGACUGACUGGGUGAAAUUACAGGAGAGUUGGGACUGACUGGGUGAAAUUACAGGAGAGUUGGGACUGACUGGGUGAAAUUACAGGAGAGUUGGGACUGACUGGGUGAAAUUACAGGAGAGUUGGGACUGACUGGGUGAAAUUACAGGAGAGUUGGGACUGACUGGGUGAAAUUACAGGAGAGUUGGGACUGACUGGGUGAAAUUACAGGAGAGUUUCACCAGGUCAUAGGAGUCCAAUUCAAUAUGAAGUUUCUGUUGAACAUUUGGCUUAGUGUGUUUUUACUCCAUUUGAACUUGAGCAACUCCUGAUUUAAUGACGACGUGAAACAAUGAUUUGAUUUUUCAGAAGCAUUUAUUUGGUUCUCCAUCCUCUUGCAAUGGACUACCAUUUCCCCAAACACCUUUUUGCGUUCUAACACUUUAGUGUGGCUUUACAGAUGUUCCUGCUGGAUGUUCUACAGGUCAGUAAUGUUACUCAUUGCCUGCAUGCCAGUCAGUCAGUCAACUCCACUGUCUCGUGUCUGUCUGUCUAAUCUCUGGCCUGGAGUCCUUUCUGUCCCUGGCUCUUUUGCAGAUUGAGGCCUUCUAUGUUUCUCUGAUCCUUCAAGAGGAACUGACCCAUCCCUACCUUCAGGCUAGUGAGCCUCAGCGGUUUGACACCCAUUGACAAACUCCUGCCAUGGGUGGUUGUCUCCAUGCCUUUUGGUUUCUUCUCCUAUGUCCUGCUGUAGUUCAUGUCUCAAGCCUUCAGUGUUCCCUGGUACCUCACAUCAAGCUGCCUGUUUGAGACCCUCAUGACAUCCAGCCUCUACUCUUCCUUCACACACAGUAUGACCCGCCAACCCUAUCUCCCAGUCUUUAUCCUCUACAUCCUCAACCACUGUUUGCCUUGCUCCAUGUCUGUAUCACCAUGACUACUGUAUGUAUCCCAAACAAAUCACUUGGCUGUCGCUUGAUCUCUGCAGGGUUAUUGCCGCUGCUUCUUGAGAAUUACCUGACUGUAUGAAACAAGAAGUACCAUUUACUUUCCUUAGGGCAUCGGUAUGGUUACUGCCUUCCAUACUCUUCCUGUGUCAGUGUAACCAUGGUUACAAGGUGCAAUUCUUGAAUGACUCUAGUUACAGUAUCACAAACUCCUUUUUUUCACCAUGUUUUCUGUCUCUUUCCUGACAGUGUACUAAUGUGCCUUCCCUUUCACUGAGCAUGAGACACUCUGCCAAAGCCUACAGUAAGAGCUUGAUAUCCAGUAACAAUUGAUAAAAUCAUACAUUUCAGUUUUUCAGUCUCACCUGUCCCUUGGUCUGUAUGUUUCUCCUCUCUCUGAUAGGAAUCAGUGUGGAGCUGGUGGCCUCUGAUUCAGGGUCAGGUUGUGGCUGUAUUCUACACAGAGAAGGCUGGGGCAUGUCAGCAGUUGGACCAGAGCCAGGAGCUGCCUCACAACACCCCUUCACCACAAACCGUUACUACAGACCAUGGUACUACUUCCCCUCUGAGACACACUGCAAGUAAAUGUUUCCCAGUCUCAAACUCUAGCCUAACCCAGCACUGAAGUUCAUACCGCUCUCCUACGAUGUUGGUUUAGCAGCGUUUCUUUGUCUGUGGAAGUGAACUUACCUAUAAUGCCAGGGAUAUCAUAUUACACUAAUUAACUUUCCUUAGCACAACAAAGGCCAUUCGUGUGUGUGCAUGUGGGAGUAUGCAUUUCAAGGACGUGAGUUUGUCUUGUUUGUUUACCCAUAGGCCUGUGCGUUUUAUGCAUACAUGUGAAGGGCUUGUGUUUGUGUAGCCUUGUUUAUCUGUGAGGUUUUGUGUAUUUUUCCCCUGUUGUAAGGUUUUCCUGACCUCAGUGCUAGUCAUGGGUGGGCUGUUCUUCCUCUGCUGCCUUGUCCUCUUCCUGGGGGUGAAAGAGCUGCGGAGUGAGUCAACGGUCAGAACAAUGGAGUUAGGGUUAGUGUGGUCAGUUUAGAACUGCUAGAGCAAAGCACAUGGGAGGUUAAGGUUCAGUAGAACGUGUUAGAGUCUAGAGCUGGGAGGUGACUAAAUAAUGGAUAGGCUUGGAACUAAAGUAACUUAUGACAUGUCAUGGUGAGUAAGUAUUUUCUUCAGUUUUCUACAAUACCAAACACCUCUCUCUGAUUUUUGUCUCCAGCUCCCCUCUAGUGUGGAUAGGGUGUGUCCUAUCUCUCCACUCUAAAUAUGCUAGUGUGCCAUGUUCCUUGCCAAUGACUGGGCCUUGGCUUUCUCUUUGCUGCACUUGCCUUCUACAUAAAUCCUUGCCUGGACUGCAUCCAAAUAGAUCAACAAAAAAUGACAAUCUUGAGUCAACUAAUGCACAUUUGUCCCUUAGAUGUCUUUGGGGAACUUUGCACUGUUCUGUACCUUCUGUCUCUGCUGGUAAGACAUUGCUUGUUGCUACACAUAGUUCUGUCAACGUCACACAUAGUUGUAUCACACACCCCACACCCUCUUGGCCACAAAAGGACGGUCUGAUUGGCUCAACACACAGAUGACAGAACACAAUUCUUAUCCAAUCUGGCAUAUCAUACUCUUUAUGAUUUUAUAUAUUUGCGUAGCUGGUAUUCGUCUCUGGAAGCUAACCACUUAUUCCUUAUUAAAGGGCAAAAACUAUAGCCAGGAGACAUUCUCUUGUUAGUGUUUAAUAUCUGGGGUGGUUGUUUGUCCUAACAGAUUGCAGCAACUACAGCUGUUUCACUGUUACAGCCAUCUCUGGUACGGGCUUGGAAAUAGAUUACAAUCUCCAUUGGUUUGUGAGCACAACAUUGUUUCUCCCUUUAUGACAAGUUUAUGCUUACAGUAAUAAUAGUUAUUUUUCUUCGUAUUUACUGCCAGUCUUCGUGGCCGUGUGUGAUGCUAGGAUUCAGCUUGGCAACCGUGUUCCUGCUGCCUUGGCGACUCUGCAGUUAGAAGGCCACGACUCUGGCUUAGGGUUGUCUCUGCUCUCUACUGUACUCUGCUCCAGUUCUGUCUCUGCCUCUGUCACUCUGAAUGACACUCAACACACACAAAAUGCUGACUUGAUGAUUCAUUCAUAAACCCCCAUGACAGCCUGUCAAGUGUUGAAUAUUUUAAUAUGCUGAUUUGACACUUGGCCAGUUUACACUUCAAUCGAUUCACCAGACAGUUGCAUAAUCUGCGUUUGGUCUGAUUUGCGAACCAGUCUCUUAUUAUUCAUGUAGGUCCAUGCUCCCGGACGUGGUAGAUGACUUCGCUGUGAAAAAAACCUGCUGCAAGGACCUGGAGCAACUUUUUUUCUACUGCUACGCCUUCUGCAGUAAGCUAGGGGAGGCCUGUCUGUUGGAAUCUCAACCAUGACUAACAUUGAGUCAUACAUCCACCUACUCCUCCUCUCCCUUUCUCUCCUCCUUAUUAUGUAAAAUCUGAUUUCAUGUUUCUAUCACCAUAUCUCAAUUUAUGUUGUGUUCAUGCAUGCGUGUAUCAUUUGUUUGUAUGCUUGUUUGUACUGCAGCUUUGUGGGGUACACUAUAAAAAAGGUUUCCAAAAAGGUUCUUCAACUGUCCCCAUAGGAAAAAACAUUUUGGUUCGAGGUACAAGUCUUUUUGGAUUCCAGUAGAACCCUUUUGGGGAAAGGGUUCUUCAUGGAACCCAAAGGGGUUCUACCUGGAACCAGAAAGGGUUCUUCAAAGGGUUCUCUUAUGGGGACAGCCGAAGAACCAUUUAAGGUUGAAGAGUGUACUGUGCAGUUGCCUGUAGACAAAGUGAGGACAUGAUGACUGCUCUGAUUGUGCUGUUUGUCCCUGUGCCCAUCACCCUGCUGCUGGUUGGGCUGGUCUUCUUCCACCUGUACCCCAUCACCCUGCUGCUGGUCGGGCUGGUCUUCUUCCACCUGUGCCCAUCACCCUGCUGCUGGUUGGGCUGGUCUUCUUCCACCUGUACCCCAUCACCCUGCUGCUGGUCGGGCUGGUCUUCUUCCACCUGUACCCCAUCACCCUGCUGCUGGUCGGGCUGGUCUUCCACCUGUACCGCAUCAACGAGGAACGACGCCUCCAGCUCCAGAGAGAGCAAGGCAGAGAGGUUGAAGCCAUACAUUCAACUGAUAGAGGAGAUAGGCUCAACAUGCAGUCGUCAGUCAAGACGCCAACCACCUUUUUAUUUAUUUUCAUUUUAUUUAGCCUUUACUUAUCUAGGCAAGUCAGUUAAGAACAAAUUCUUAUUUACAAUGCCGGCAAAACCUGAACGACGCUGGGCCAAUUGUGGGACGCCCAAUCACGGCCGGAUGUGAUAGACUGGAUUCGCACCAGGGGCUGUAAAAUAGAUUUUGAUUUUGGUUACUACAUGAUUACAUAUGUUUUAUUUCAUAGUUUUGAUGUCUUCACUGUUAUUCUACAAUGUAGCAAAUAGUACAAAUAAAGAGAAAUCCUUGAAUGCC